AUUGAACGCUGGCGGCAUGCUUUACACAUGCAAGUCGAACGGUAACAGGCCGCAAGGUGCUGACGAGUGGCGAACGGGUGAGUAAUGCAUCGGAACGUGCCCAGUCGUGGGGGAUAACUACUCGAGAGAGUAGCUAAUACCGCAUACGAUCUAUGGAUGAAAGCGGGGGACCGUAAGGCCUCGCGCGAUUGGAGCGGCCGAUGUCAGAUUAGGUAGUUGGUGGGGUAAAGGCUCACCAAGCCAACGAUCUGUAGCUGGUCUGAGAGGACGACCAGCCACACUGGGACUGAGACACGGCCCAGACUCCUACGGGAGGCAGCAGUGGGGAAUUUUGGACAAUGGGCGCAAGCCUGAUCCAGCAAUGCCGCGUGCAGGAAGAAGGCCUUCGGGUUGUAAACUGCUUUUGUACGGAACGAAACGGCUCUGGUUAAUACCCGGGGCUAAUGACGGUACCGUAAGAAUAAGCACCGGCUAACUACGUG
rnacentral:rRNA from 1 species